rnacentral:rRNA from 1 species
CAAUAGCGUAUAUUAAAGUUGUUGCAGUUAAAAAGCUCGUAGUUGGAUUUGUGGCGUACGGUGUGUUCAGGGCACUUGUUGUCUGAGUAACCUGCUGUUGCCAUCCUUGGGUGGAACCUGUGUGGCAUUAGGUUGCCGUGCAGGGGAUGCCCAUCAUUUACUGUGAAAAAAUUAGAGUGUUCAAAGCAGGCUUAUGCCGUUGAAUAUAUUAGCAUGGAAUAAUGAGAUAGGACUUUUUUGCUAUUUUGUUGGUUUGCGCAAAGAGGUAAUGAUUAAUAGGGACAGUUGGGGGUAUUCGUAUUCCAUUGUCAGAGGUGAAAUUCUUGGAUUUUUGGAAGACGAACUACUGCGAAAGCAUUUACCAAGGAUGUUUUCAUUAA